ACGAACGCUGGCGGCGUGCCUAAUACAUGCCAGUUGAGCGAUGAAGAUUGGUGCUUGCACCAAUUUGAAGAGCAGCGAACGGGUGAGUAACGCGUGGGGAAUCUGCCUUUGAGCGGGGGACAACAUUUGGAAACGAAUGCUAAUACCGCAUAACAACUUUAAACAUAAGUUUUAAGUUUGAAAGAUGCAAUUGCAUCACUCAAAGAUGAUCCCGCGUUGUAUUAGCUAGUUGGUGAGGUAAAGGCUCACCAAGGCGAUGAUACAUAGCCGACCUGAGAGGGUGAUCGGCCACAUUGGGACUGAGACACGGCCCAAACUCCUACGGGAGGCAGCAGUAGGGAAUCUUCGGCAAUGGACGAAAGUCUGACCGAGCAACGCCGCGUGAGUGAAGAAGGUUGUCGGAUCGUAAAACUCUGUUGGUAGAGAAGAACGUUGGUGAGAGUGGAAAGCUCAUCAAGUGACGGUAACUACCCAGAAAGGGACGGCUAACUACGUG
rnacentral:rRNA from 1 species